AUUGAACGCUGGCGGCAUGCCUUACACAUGCAAGUCGAACGGUAACGCGGGGCAACCUGGCGACGAGUGGCGAACGGGUGAGUAAUGCAUCGGAACGUGGCUGGUAGGGGGGGAUAACUGCUCGAAAGAGCAGCUAAUACCGCAUACGACCUGAUGGUGAAAGGGGGGGAUCGCAAGACCUCUCGCUCUCAGAGCGGCCGAUGUCGGAUUAGCUAGUUGGUGGGGUAAAGGCCCACCAAGGCAACGAUCCGUAGCUGGUCUGAGAGGACGACCAGCCACACUGGGACUGAGACACGGCCCAGACUCCUACGGGAGGCAGCAGUGGGGAAUUUUGGACAAUGGACGCAAGUCUGAUCCAGCCAUGCCGCGUGCGGGAAGAAGGCCUUCGGGUUGUAAACCGCUUUUGUCAGGGAAGAAAUCUUCUGGGCUAAUACCCUGGGAGGAUGACGGUACCUGAAGAAUAAGCACCGGCUAACUACGUGCCAGCCGCCGCAGUAACAC
rnacentral:rRNA from 1 species